CCUACGGGUGGCAGCAGUGGGGAAUAUUGCACAAUGGGGGAAACCCUGAUGCAGCAACGCCGCGUGAGGGAAGACGGUUUUCGGAUUGUAAACUUCUAUCAAUAGGGAAGAAAGAAAUGACGGUACCUAAGUAAAAAGCCCCGGCUAACUACGUGCCAGCAGCCGCGGUAAUACGUAGGUGGCAAGCAUUAUCCGGAGUUACUGGGGGUAAAGGGCGUGGAGGCGGGGGAGCAAGUCAGAUGUUAAAACGACGGGCCUAACCUGUGGCACGCAUUUGAAACUGUUUUACUUGAGUGCUGGAGAGGCAAUCGGAAUUCCGUGUGUAGCGGUGAAAUGCUUAGAUAUCACGAAGAACCCCGAUGGCGAAGGCAGCUUACUAAACUGUGACUGACAUUGAUGCUCGAAAGUGUGGGUAUCAAACAGGAUUAGAUACCCGUGUAGUC
rnacentral:rRNA from 1 species